AUACCUGUUCGAGCGUCAUUACACCCCUCAAAGAUGACUCUUUGACGUUGGGCAAUGCCUAAAGGCAUGCCUCAAAAUCAGCGAUGGUGAUAUUCAACCACAGGCGCACACACGUCGUCUAGCUGGCGGGAUGUUGACAGUCAAUUGAUGAAUUUCUAAAUGUUGACCUCGGAUCAGGUAGGAAUACCCGCUGAACUUAA
rnacentral:misc_RNA from 1 species